UGCUCCUCUCCUUCAGCUCGAAGGAAGCCGUUCCAGUGUCUCACAAGCCAAGGUAAAGAAAAAAAAGAGAGAGAAAAAAACAGAGAAGGAAAUCAAGAGAAGAACACCAUUUGAUUCUCCUCUCUGCUCACUCCUUCUCCUUCUUCUGUUUGUCCGUCUUGGAUUGGAGCUAGCACUUCUUUGACUGCCCUUGUUCAUCGAGGCGGCGAGGCGAGGUCGCGAUGGGGCAAGGGAAGAUCGAGAUGAAGAGGAUCGAGGACGCGACGAGGCGGCAGGUGACGUUCAGCAAGCGCAGGGCUGGGUUUCUCAAGAAGGCGAACGAGCUCGCCGUGCUGUGCGAUGCGCAGGUCGGCGUCGUCGUCUUCUCCGACAAGGGCAAGCUCUUCGACUUCUGCAGCCCGCCGGUCAUCUUGAUGGAGCUGUUUCACCGUUAUGAGAUCACCACCAGAAACACUCGGCUUCAGGAGACAAACCGUGAUGAUGAGCAAAUGGUCAUGGAGAUCACAAGGCUAAGGAAUGAGAUCGACCAGCUCGAAGCCAGUUUAAGGAGGCAAACUGGAGAAGACCUGUCAUCUGUGUCCACAGUGGAUGAGCUCAGCCAGCUGCAGCUGCAGCUUGAAUCAUCUCUCAGCAAAGUUCAUGCGAGGAAGGAUGAGCUCAUGAGCCAGCAGCUGGAGGAUAUGCGUCGCAUGCAUCAGACCGUGCAUGAGCAGAACAAUUUCUUGUGCCGCAUGAUCAUCCGCGUAAAAUCCGAACGGUUCAGAUCGAUCCCACCUCCACCUCCCUCAAUCAGCGGACGACCCGCACCGCCCCCCCCCCCUCCCUAUCGCUCUCCCACCACACCUGCACCUCCGCCCUCCGCCGGAAUUCCGCUCCUGCACCUCCGCCAUCAGUGCUCCGCUCCGUAUCAGCCGCCGCGCCGUCCUCUGCAUCGCAUGUCUGCCACCGAUCCCCGCCGCCGGCUCGCCCUCCACGAUCCUCCGCCUCCCCGCUGCACGAGGUCCUCCCGUCGCCAGGUCGUCGCCGCCGUUCUGCUCCACCGAUCCCCGCCGCACGAGGUGCUCCCGUCGCUAGGUAGCCACCGCGCCGUCCUCUGCAUCGCCUGUCUCCACCAAUCCCCUCUGCAUCGCAGGGGUGAGCUGCAGCUAUGGAGUUCCUUGCCGGUGGGGGAGCAGCAGGUGAAUCCCGUGAGAGCGCUUGCCGCUUUUCCUCAGAGUACAAUGAACGCGGGGUGCUCGGCGAAAUGUCCCGUCCGGCUCCUCACCUGCAAUGCAUGUGUUCUGGAGAGUGUUUAUGGAUUCUGGAUCUUAGACCCCCUCAACGACUUGGAUCGUCAGUAAAGCUUCAUCUUGAAGGUGCACAUCUGCCGUUGUUUCGUCAAAAUACUAUGCAUGAUCUUUAGGUGAUAAAAUAUUGAUUGAAUUGUCUACUGCUAUCGCUCAGAAUCCAUACUCCAUCAAUCUUACAUAUACACAUAUUUGUUGCGUCAAACACAAGCUUGCUUUCCAUACAUCCCUGAACAAUUCAGCCUCACAACUGCUCUUGACAUAUCUCAUUCAGAAUUUUUUUUCUCAAAUUAGUUGGACUGAUAGAAAAAUAUUGCUUUUCAAGAUUGUAAAAUAACCAACUGACUGGGAAGUUGAUGUCAUAUGUUGGAAGCAAUCUGCUAAAAUGUUAAAGAAGUGCAUCUAACUUUUGUACCCAGUGAAUUGCAAAUCUCUAUCUCGUUUUUUUAUUUACAGUUUCUUUGGUUUUAAAGUAAAAUAGGUUGACAUGGGAACUUUACUAGCAGAGGAAUGGGCUUAUAUUCUUGGAAAAAAUACAUUUCUCCAUGCAGAAUGUGAUCACAAUAAUGAUACUUGCUGCCAUGAUUUCUAUCACUCAUGCACGCAUUGCCCUUGAUGAUUGUAUGCAGUUGGGAUAUAUUGUCAUCAAGCAAGAAAAUUCUUGGCGAUUCUGGUUUAUAUGACUUCCUGGAAGCAGUAGGAACAACAAGAGUUACUGAACCAGAAAUUGAACUUGCCUUCUUCAUGCAUCAGAUGAACCAUAAAGGGAACAACACUACUACCCUCUCCAAAAUUGAGCUGCUCAGGACUUCGUAGAAAUUUACAGCUUCAGGACAUGUGAUUUAUCCAUUCUCUUUUACUGUUUAUUCUAAAAUGCAAAAAAAAAAGAAAUUUUGUUGUAGCUUAGAUUAAGGCAGCCUCAGCUUUGUGGUUUGCCAAGCCAUGUACUGAUAUAUGAAUGUGAUACUUUAAUUAAUGUUGAAACGCAUGAUUAUGUAUUUGAACUGAAUUGACUGAAUGUGUCCUGGAAUCGGUUUAGAACUUAAUAUAUCAAUCAGACUUUUGUUC